rnacentral:lncRNA from 1 species
GGCUAACUUUCUUUCAGAGGAUGAUUUUGAGCCAUCUCUCAUUCCUGCACAGACGAUUCCAGAUCCAGAAGAUAAGAAGCCCGAGGACUGGGAUGAGAGGGAAAAAAUCCCAGACCCAGAUGCUAAGAAACCAGAUGAUUGGGACGAGGAUGCACCAAUGGAGAUUGAAGAUGAGGAAGCUGAGAAGCCCGAGGGAUGGUUGGAUGACGAACCUGAAGAGAUCGAUGAUCCUGAGGCAACAAAGCCUGAAGAUUGGGUUGAUGAGGAAGAUGGUGAAUGGGAGGCUCCAAAAAUUGAUAACCCGAAGUGUGCCGAGGGCCCUGGAUGUGGGGAGUGGAGAAGACCAAUGAAGAGCAAUCCAGCUUACAAGGGAAAAUGGCAUGCUCCAUUGAUUGACAAUCCCAAUUACAAGGGUAUUUGGAAGCCAAGGGAUAUUCCAAAUCCUAACUAUUUCGAACUCGACAGGCCGAAUUUUGAGCCUAUUGCAGCAAUUGGCAUUGAAAUUUGGACAAUGCAAGAUGGUAUUUUGUUUGACAAUAUCUUGAUAGCCAGUGAUGAGAGAGUUGCAGAAUCAUACAGGAAGACUGCAUGGAAGCCCAAGUUUGAUGCAGAGAAAGAGAAGCAGAAGGCUGAGGAAGCAACGAUCUCUGGUGGGCUCAAAGGAUUCCAGGUAAUUGAUUAUACUUUCUUCACCAUACAUUCCAUCGUUCUUGGUUUUUCUUUGUAUUUCGUCACUUGACUUGAGAUAUAUUGGAACAAUCUGCAGAAAGUGGUAUUUGAUCUUCUCUACAAGGUGGCUGACAUCCCCUUGUUGGGUGAACACAAGUCCAAAGUGCUGGUGAGUGAAUGACCCGGUGUUCUGGUGUUGCAUGUUGUUUCAUUUUUGUAUGUGUGACUAAUACAUAGAUUUGUGUUGUAGGAUCUUCUUGAGAAGGCUGAGACAAAGCCUAAUCUCACAGUUGGUGUUGUCAUUUCAAUCGUAAUUGUCAUCUUCACAGUUCUCUUGAAACUCACCUUUGGUGGGAAGAAGCAGCAACCUGUAAGUCCGAACUCAGCCUCAGCUUUCCUCCCAUCCCUUUGUCCAAAAGAAAUAGGAAAAGAAAGAAAUAUCACACCUGGUUUCAUGUUUGUUGGGUAUGUUUGAUAAAAGAAACCUACUUGCUUGUGCAGGCAAGAGCUACUGGAGAGCCUAAGAAAAGUGAUGGUGCCGAGGCAUCAACUUCUAACAGUCAAGGAGCUACGGAGGAGAAAGAAGAGCAGAAUGAGGAUGCUGCUGCUGCUCCUCGUAGAAGGACUAGACGUGAUAAUUAGUGAUGGGCGAAGAAGUAGCGAGUGCUAGAAGGACUUAGGUGCUAUGCUGUUCUUUUAUUUUCCUUUACUAUCUUACUUCUUCCCCUGCUUUACCUAAUGGCCAGGCCAGCAAACAUUUUCCCAAAAUUUUAUGGUUUUUUCCCUCGGAACAGGCAAUGUGUGACAAUGUACAAUGAGACAGAUCCAUAUAAUUAGGGUAUUCUUCCAUAGUUUUUGAUGUAGAAGAUUUUUGUUCAAGUUGCUUAUAUUGCCCGUCGUAGAUUCUUUUUGUUAAGUUUAUUUUAGUCCUCUUGCUGGAUUUUGACUUUCUUUUUUAAUGUCUUUAUGAUUCAUACAUAGUCUCUUCUUUUCCUUCCAACAGCCUUAGAGCAAAGCAGUACCAACGAUUGACAGAAAAUUAAUAACACUAGCAGCAAAAUGGAUUCUAGUAAUCUAGUUUUUAGUUCUGUGAAAGAGAGAUUUAUGUUAUAUCCUGUUUAUGAAUCCUCUGAUUAAUAUUCUUUCAUCAUCAUUCCAAACAGUCAACCGAGUGAACUUCGUAAUCACACAAUCUACAGCUAAGACCAUCCAUAUAAGCCCGGUUUUAUAUUGUGAAUAAGUAGAAAUGACACCAGAAUACUGCUAUUUAGAAAUUAGCCGGUGCAUCCUAAAUUUUUUUCAGUUCAAUUUUUCGAGAUAAGAGUAUUCUGAAUUGUGCUGAAAUUAUGAUUUUUAGUUUAAAAUUUCAAGACAAAAUAAGUACUGGCUAAUUUCUAUAUAGCAUCCCUAAAAAUGGCUAUCAGUGCACUUGCCUCCUUCCUCUUUAUAAUUUCUGUACCCUUUGUUACUUGAAAGGAGAUGGUUGAGGACCAUUAAAUACUACUCAUGGUAAAUUGGCACCAGUGCAACCGAGACAGUGUCCUAACAUCUAACCUAACCUUCUGAAUCCAAGUUAAAGACUAGACAAACUGUCAAGAGUUGCUUCAACUGUUACAAAUUAAUUCUUUACUCCUACCAUCCUAAAAAUGUCAAUUUUAAACAUCACUUCAGGGUUUGAAGUGAAAUUUCGUGUUACAAACAAUAAAUGGAGAUAUCAAAGUCCAAACCAUCAACUAUUGAAAGGUUAAACAGAAUGGAACCAAUAUACCAGAAAGAAGGCCCCCGCCCCCGAAUAUCUCAUCUAGCGAAACAAGUAGAAGAAAAGUAUUUUCUCCCACUGGAACUAAGAAAAGACAAUCCAAUACUUUGUAACAAUUACAACCAGUGGUAUACAUCUUCAAUAAUACGUUAAACGACGCAAAGUGACGGCAGAAGCCCCACGGAGAUUAAUGACCACGUAGUUGUCUUGCGGGUAUCAUGGAUGUGGGUGGGUUUGGAAUCGAAUCGUUUGGCCCAAUAUCAUCAAUUGGAGGACGCUGCUUAUGAUGAUUGGUGACUGACUGAUAAGCCAUUGCCAGUGCUAAAGCCUGCGCGUAAAAAGGAACACACAAAAUCAAUAUGGAGGUUGCUUAGCAAAGAACAGAAUUCCAAAAGCCACAUCUCAAUAACAAGACAAAGAACUACACUUAGUGUUGACAGUAAACAUGGAUUUAGGGCGCGUUCCUUGAGUUCAAAUGAACUCAUUGCUUUCUGUUCGAACGAUGUCACAUAUACAAAAAAACAUAUAAAAUGCAUACACAUACUAAUAUACUAAAACCACUCAUUCUGAAUCACACUAACAUUAGAUAUAGAUGAUCCUAGAGUUGCCGCUGGUGGGAGGUAUCCCUUACAAAUCGCAAAAACAUAAGAGAGAGAAUUAGAGCCUUACAACAUGAUCAUGGUCGGGAGGAGCAUAAAUGCCUGUAGUGAUUGUUGUCCUCCUGCGAGUAUCAUCUGUUGGAGCAUUCGGUAUCUUCUUAAAUCCUAUUGGAACCACCACUACUGGCAUACCCACUAGAUUGCCCACACAAACUUUCUCCCAAUCAGUUGCAUCUCCAAUAAACGCGUCAACUUUGAAGCUUUCUCUGACUUCCUGAAUCAAUUUGCUUCUAGCUCUCUGUGCCUGUUAAGUACAACUUCAUUCUUUUAACGCUUAACAAAAUAUUUGAUUCCACAUACAAAUAUUAAUCUGUUAAUGUCUGAACAACAACUGCAAAGUGGAUCAGGCUCUAUCCGAAGCCAAAGUGUUUUAACACCUCGAGAAUUGUUUUCUAGAACAAGACAUGUACCUGAAUAUAGUCUACAGCAGUUAUUACACGGGCACGUCGAAGUUCAAGAGGCCAUUGGUUUUCAGCUUCAAAUUCAUUAUCCUUGUUAGAGCGUUGCCACUCAUCAAAGUGGGCUAGCAUGUCAACAUCCAUAGUGAAGUUGACAAUACCUUGAGCAAUGUCAACAGUAUAUUUCAGAUCAAAAGGAACCAUCUUCGCUCCCUUUGAUUGAAGUACAUUAACAACCUGUCAUUGACAUAAUUAAACAGUCAAAUCCUGGCACUCACAGAAGAUGAAGAAACGAAUUGAAUUACAGAAUUAGUCAUAUGUUGAAAUUUCUAGUAAUGAAAAGAAGUCACUUACUUCCUUGUCAGCGUCCUCAAGAUAACCGACAGUGAGUUUUGUGAUGUCAACUGAAAAUGGAUCAACUAACGCGAUGUCUCUGGAUGAAAGAUCAUCUGGGUCCUUUCCCAGGAUGGCAUCGAGAACAACAGCGCAAUCUGCUGCACUUCUACAAAAUGGUCCUAGUUUGUCCUAAUAGAACAGCCAGAUUUAAGUGUCAGCGCUGCUAUAAUAAAAGAUAAAACACAUACGAAAUGGAAUCAAAUUCUGUGUUUGUGCAAGAGAUAUGGUACCAAGCUUUCAGAUAUGCUCAUAACUCCAGUACGACCAACAGCUCCAAAAGUGGGCCGCAAUGCAGUAACACCACACCUAGCAGCUGGGUAGGUAAUCGACCCAACAGUUUCUGAACCAAUUGCAAAAGGAACUAUACCUGCAACACAAAGACACCGUUGUCAAAAGAAUAUACUUCGCCUACUAAUAAGCAAACUAACAUGAAGGGGCGGGAACUGCCAUUCUAAGUCUUGAUGGAGGAUUCCAUCCACAAACACAAAGUUCAUAGGCGGACUGAUAUUGCUUAUCACCAUUUACCUGUAUGCACAUACUUUCCUUGUUGUUGGUCAUAGUUGUUGAACCAAUUUCAGGAUUAGGCACAGAAUACAUAACAACAACAACAACAACAUCCCAGUGUAUUCCCACAAGUGGGGUCUGGGGAGGGAAGGAUGUACGCAGCCUUACCCCUACCCUGGAAGGGCAAAGAGACUAUUUCCGGAAGACACACACAGUACAUAAGAUCCUUUAAAUUCUAUUCAUUUGGAUCAGUGAAUGACUAAAUGUUAGUUCAAGUCCAUUCUUUCGACCGUGCAGAUACACAAACAGAUGUAGGCAUCUAGCAGAAGAAGUAAUAUCAUAUUUGCCACAAUGGAAGAUAGGCUUAUCUCCAUAAAAACACCUAUUAGGAAUAGUAUACCUGUUGAGGUGCAGGAAGCUGGCCCUGCCGAUGAACCAGUAGAAAAUUCUUCCAUAUUCCAUGGAUUUCUUGUUCUACCGCCAAACCAGAUAUCAUCAUAUGCUAAAGAACCAGCGACUAAUUUUGCAACAAGAACAGCACCAGCAGAUUUCAGCCUGCAUCAACCGUAUCUAUAAGUUAUACAAACACAUGCACAAUAUAUGAUAGCUAGUGAAUGGGGCCUCUACAUUCAUUUGUCAAUACCUCUUAUAAACCCAAGCUUCGAGAUCAAGAACUUGAUCUUUGAAAGAUUUGGAGCCCCAUGUUGUGGGAUAGUUUGGUACUGCAAUAAUGUCCUUCAAACCAUACGGAAUCCCAUGAAGAGGACCUAUAAAGAAUAAAAUCAAAUAAAUGUAUCUAGUCCCUUUGAGAAAAUUCAGAGAAAGCUAAUUGUAUAUGAAGUUUUUCUAAUUAAGAUCAGACCCGGGAGGCUUCAUCUCUUAGAAUAAAAUGAGAAGUGCUGGAAUAUAAUGGAAAAUAAUGGAGGAUGUUAAGAGUAGGUAAAAUGCUAAUAGCAGCAAGGGUAUACAAGAAAGGAAGAGGGCCAAGGGGAAAGGAAGGAGGAAUGUUACCCAAAUAUUUGCCUUUUGAAAGCAGUUGAUCAGCUUCUUUUGCUUGUUGAUAUGCUAAUUCUUCAGUAAUUGUGAUAACGGAUUCAAGGACAGGACCAUACCUGUGAAGCUCCGGAAGUACAAUAUUUUGAGAAUCAAAUUAUUCAAUAACAUACAAAGCAGAUUACAGGAAGAAAAGCAUUCACCAUACCUUUGUAAUCUGUCCAAAAAAAUUCCAGUUAGCUCCGCUGAUGUAAUUAAUUUUUCCUUUAGAAGUUGCCCAAGUUCAAGAAUCUGAUAUAACAGCAUACCAUGUAUCAAUAAUAAAAUAAAAAUGACAUACAUUGGUACAACAUAGUUCCUUGCUCGUUUGGUACGAGGGAUAAGGGAAAAUUAAUCCCGGGGAUUAAAUUUGAAAUGAGUUUAUUCCACGUUUGGUUGGGAUUACAGUAUAAGUUAAAGGGACUAAGAGGGUGCACUUACACUCAUAAAAGCAAUAUCCUCAUCAUUUUUUGGCCUUUGAAUACCAGAGUAUACAGGGUAAUUGAACUUGCCUGUUCCUUGCUUUACUUCUUUCGCAUUCCAUACAGAAUUGAAAACCAAAGGAGAAGGGUUAUGUAGACCUCCAUUUUCAGUAGCGACUAACUUCCUAUUGCUUCCGAUUAUAGGAAUGUUAAAAUUUUGUGCACCCUUUUGAAUUUCAAGCUUCUGAAAAAGAAUGAGCACAACAAAAAUGGCCCUACUUAGUUUUCCAAUUCACAUCGAGAGUACUAACGAAACGUUUAAGUGAUCUUAUUAACACUGUCACAGUACCUUACAGUCAUUGAAAAAACCAGCGUCCAACAUAUCAAAUCCACAUUUACAUACUGGAAAACUAUUUUUGGCCUGUUCCAAGUGUUCCCCGCAGUUUUUAGGACCCAACUUCCCACUGUCCUGAUUAAUAACUACAGAUUAUCAAACAGAAACUAUAGCAACUAUAUAAUAGAGGCAACUAACUUUAUCAUUGAUUUAAUGCAAAUUUGAAUGUACUACCUUGACGUAAGGUCCCUGGAAUAAUAACCCCAGGUGCUCUGUGGUAAAUAUUUGCGUAACUUUCUACAAAUUCUGACCUGCUUUGCAAAUGUUAGUUUGAAGAAAGAGACCAGACACUAGAUCUUUAUUUACCUUUUCACCUUCUAGUCUGCUGUUUCUAUUCUUAGAGUGCUAAAAUAUAAUUCAGUGGUGUUCCCCUACUAUGUUAUCCACAAGCUACUAAAUGUAUAGUGGAAAUAAUGACUGCAAGCUUGCAAUGGAAAUAUAUUAAACAAGAAAAUCCAUAGUAACUUCAAAUGAUAGAUUGUAUAAUAUAGUACUCAUGAGUACAUUAGCAAGUAUCAUUAAAAUGAGUCAAAACUACUCUACCAAUUUAAAUGUAAGUAACAACACAAAAAAGAAAUAGCAGAAACGCAUGCAAUUCUUGAUUAAGCAAGAGGAAGAUGAAGGAAGAGGAGUCGAGAGUAUACCAUAUUUGUGGAAAUGCAGGCAAAACCCAAUAUUCUAAUGGGAAUAAUGAAGAAGAAAUUGGAGUUACGUUGCUGUUUAACAUAACAUAACAAUGUUGAAACAAGAGAAACAGUCCGAGGAAUGUGGUUAAUGGCAAGAACGGUGUUGGCAACGUGGGUAUCAAGUGACAAAUGUCACAUUAGCAGGUUGCCACGUAAUUAGUCAUGAGGACGAGGCCCUUUGGUUCUCUGCAGUAAACUCCUUUGUGUGGUUUCGUAAACUCAAUGUUUACUGUUUAGUAUAACCAAUUCUACAAUAGUUUAAUCUAAAAAGUUUAUGCUCGUAGUGGGGAUAAACCUACUAUUCCUUAAUGAUUAUAUAUGCAUAUUUGCACGGGCGGAGACACGAUUUAAAAUUUAUGGGUUCGAAAUUUUAGUUAUUUUAAGUUACUGAAAUCUAAAUUAAUAAUUUAUGUAUAAUUUAAUUAAUUUUUAAAGACAAAUAUACGAUAUUGAACUAAAACUACGGGUUCAGCUGAACACGCAAUCGAAGGCUAGCUUCGCCCCACAUAUUCCUAUAACUUUUUGUAAAGAUGAAUUUAUAAUUUAACAUUUAAGUUCUUAGAAUUUUAACUUUUAUAGUUAUGACUUGAAAAUUUAGCAUUUAUUGAUAUUUUUAUAAAUUUUCACUAAUUAUUUAUGAUACGAAAAAAGUAUAAUGUGUUCGAUGGAACCUAUAAAAACAGGUUGCAUCCACCUUUUGCUCUUUUGAUACUCAAUGUGGUUUAUAAUUCAUGAUAUUAUUGGUUUAUAAUUCAUGAUAUUAUAAUUCACAUUGGACACACUUGUAAGAAAUAAGAAUCGUCCUAUCUCUUUCAAAAUAUUGCUGCUACUUAUCUCAAUAUUAUUGCUCGAUCAAUUUUUUCAAAUUUAAGGUUUAAAUUUAACGGUCGUUCGACUAAUCCCAUUGUAGAAUAAUUUUAAAUUACUUGCUAUUAAUAAUUAUGUGCCAGCUCAAGUGGUUUAAUUUUUCCAUUUCGGAUAAGGGGUCCAAGGUUCAGCCCUUGUUGUCUCCAAUAUUUUUUAUUUUUUAAGAAGAAUGACCAAAUUUAUAAAAUUAAAAUAAGGUAUCCUAUAGGACUCAAUCCCAUGUCCCCUCUAAUAAAUUUGAAGGUUGAACCAGCGAGCAAAGCCAAUUUUCAUGUUAAAGCGGUGUCAUUUUCCACUUGUAUUAAAUGUAUUUUGUUUUUGUAUUAUUCACAAAUAUAUAUUUAGUAAUAUAUUUUUCGACGAGGCCUCCGCCAAUCGUCGUAGGUAUAUUAAUCACGUUUAUUCGCAUACUAGUAUUAGCACCCGCGCGGAUGCGCGGACAUUAAUCAUGUCAAAUAUUUAAGUUAUUUGGAUUAUAUGUAAAUAAUCUUAAAAUUUAAACUUUCUCAGUAAAUAUAGAUAAUUAUUGGAUAUUAAACACUACAUGAAAAAAAUCAACCAUUUUUUCUAUUUUUCUUUUUAGAUUUCAUUCUCGCCGGUGUCAUUGGAUCCUAAAAAUAGUCAGAAAGCAAAAUAAUAACUAAUGUUUAUGGCAAAACAAUAAAAUAUUGAGACUAUGAAUGACUCUUUGGAUACGACUUGACUCUUUUACUACUACUUGAACUCUUAUUUUGUGUGUUGAUAUCUCUUAAAAAACAUUUCUUUUUUAAAAUUUCAGUUUCUAAAACUUUAUUUUUCAAUAAUAAUUAUUUUUAUAAUAAUAUAAAAUAUUAUCCUUAAUUCAAAACUCAUUUUAGUUGGCUAUCUAAAAAUUUAAAAAAUUCUUUAGUCAGUGAAUUUUGUUUUUCAGUAUGACUCCAUUUUGAUAUUUGACAUUAACCAUGUUAAAUAUAUGAGUUAUUUGAAUUAUAUGUAAAUAACCUUAAAAUUUAAGCCUUCUAAAUAAUUAUAGAUAGUCAUUAGUAUUAAUUAAGAAACACUACAUGAAAAAAGAGUAACAUUUUCUCAAAUCUCGUAGUGAUAUAAUUUUAUUUUUUCACUAUUCUCAUUGGUGUCAUUGAAACCUAAAAAUAGCCACAAAGUGAAAUAAUAACUCAUAUUUAUAGCAAAGAACAAAGGUUGACAUAAUAUAAACGAUUCUUUGGUUACGACGUGACUCUUUUACUACGACUUGAGCUCUUAUUUGGUAAGACAUUAUCUUUCAAAAAAUAUUUCUAUUUUGAAAUUUUAAUUUCUAAAAUUUUAUAUAUAUUUCAAUAAUGAUUAUCUUUAUAAUGAUGCAAGUAAAAAUAUUAUUCUUAAUUUAAAAUUCACUUUAAUUGGCUAUUUAAAGAUAUAAAUGAUUCUUUAGCCGGAAAAACUUUAUUUCAAUAUGACUCCAUUUUAAGUUUAUCGAUAUCCCUAGCCACAUAUUUUAAAUUUUUAAUACCCUAUAUAUACAAAAAACAAAUAUUCUUUGAAUCAUUAAAUAUUAAAUUAGUUGAUUGCUAUUAUAUAACAUUGCAUAUAUUAUCUUAAAAUUGCCAAGUAAUUUAUUUUUUGACACCAUACUUGGCUUAACCUCAAUGCAAACUACUCAAAUUGCAUUUAGAUUCAAAUUCGAAUAUCAUAUCAGUUUGUUAGUAAUAGUGAUUUAUAAAAACGACACACAAUAUAAAUAAAAAAAAUAUUCUAACAUUUUCUUAUCUUAUAAUCUAUGUAUUUGGGUUGAAACAAAUAUUUGAAAUCGAUGAGAUUAGCUUCCAAAUUUUUUAUAUUCAACAAAAAUGAAACGUAAGAAGAAAUUCGUUGUCAUCUCUUAUUUCUGAUUUUUAGAUCUUUCAUUCAUUGUUUUUAAUAUUUAAUUUCUUUUAUCUUAUUUUUAUGUCAUUCUUUCUUUUGUUAAAAAAAUAAUAAUUUAUUUCACUAUAAAAGGAUGAGUUUUAAUAGAAAUUGUCUACAUAAGAACUUUAUUUAUAUUUUUAGUCUUUGGUUGAAAUUCUUUCAUAUUUUUUUUUGGCUUUAUCUAAUCAGCCUAAAUAGGUUCUCACCCGACCACUUAAAUUAAAAAAUUGAAGGAUGUGUAAUAUAUGUAUAAUCCAUAUGUAUAUAAUCGUGUGUUGUCGGUAUAUCAUCUAUUUAUAUUAGCUAUAAAGAGUAAACAAUAAAUAUGGCCAGAUAUUUAUGUAAAUAUUCCAUAAGAUUUUGGUUUUUUGAGUUUAUCCAUGAUAUGACUUCUAUUAUAAUAAUUUUAAAAACUCUCUACUAAUGUUCAAAAAUAUCUUAUCUUUUUAUUAUAUUUGAAGUAGAAAAAAGUAAAGAGUUUUUUCGAAAUAAUUUAUUUACAUUUAAAAAAAAAA